rnacentral:rRNA from 1 species
CUCGUAGGCGGUUUGUCGCGUCGGGAGUGAAAUCCAUUGGCUUAACUGGUGGCUUGCUUUCGAUACGGGCAGACUGGAGGUAUGCAGGGGAGAACGGAAUUCCUGGUGUAGCGGUGAAAUGCGCAGAUAUCAGGAGGAACACCGGUGGCGGAGGCGGUUCUCUGGGCAUGUCCUGACGCUGAGGAGCGAAAGUGUGGGGAGCGAACA